GACGAACGCUGGCGGCGUGCCUAAUACAUGCAAGUCGAACGAGAGCGACCGGUGCUUGCACUGGUCAAUCUAGUGGCGAACGGGUGAGUAACACGUGGGUAACCUGCCCAUCAGAGGGGGAUAACAUUCGGAAACGGAUGCUAAAACCGCAUAGGUCUUCGAACCGCAUGGUUUGAAGAGGAAAAGAGGCGCAAGCUUCUGCUGAUGGAUGGACCCGCGGUGCAUUAGCUAGUUGGUGAGGUAACGGCUCACCAAGGCCGUGAUGCAUAGCCGACCUGAGAGGGUGAUCGGCCACAUUGGGACUGAGACACGGCCCAAACUCCUACGGGAGGCAGCAGUAGGGAAUCUUCCGCAAUGGACGCAAGUCUGACGGAGCAACGCCGCGUGAGUGAAGAAGGUGUUCGGAUCGUAAAACUCUGUUGUUAGAGAAGAAUAAGUGCUAGAGUAACUGUUAGCGCCUUGACGGUAGCUAACCAGAAAGCCACGGCUAACUACGUG
rnacentral:rRNA from 1 species